GAGCCAAUAACUCGAACGCGUUCGGUCUGUUUUUUGAGCAAGAAUCACAGCGUUACCUUACCUUCACCAUGAUACGGACUCCAAGUUCUUAUGGCAGAGCACGAGGAGAUUUAUCAUCAAUAUGAUGAUGGGAAUGGAAACCAGAAGCACGACUGGGGUCUUCGUGGUCCAAGAUAAUUAAAACAUCAGUAACAGUAACGUAAGCAUGAGACUUUUUGGUAGUACCGGUGAACCAGAUGGCCGCGGCGAUGGAAUCUGGGACGGAGGACUCGUAGUAUCUCUCUAGAUCUGGCAAAAGCGAAAGACCCCCUAACGUAAUUCGAAUAGGGGCUGACCGCUGAGCCCACUCUGGCCUCGCAGGGCGGGCCCCUGUGGUUGCGAGCUGGAGCUGCCAUAGCUUAUGGCUAGAGCAAUAGGUGGCCCCAGCAGAGAGAACAGUAAGGAUAACGAGCGCUCCGCCCGUCAAGCGGGCGGCAAGAGCAGCGGGCAAGUGCUUGGUAGGCCAACAGCCCAGUGAACCGGGCGGGGCACUCGACGAAAGGGGGGCACACUGAGCAAGUACGAGAAAUUGGCCCCGCUCCACUUUAUUAAAAGCAAGGACCACUACGGGAGGUCAAAGCAAGGACCUAGGGAAGUCGGGGCUCAUCCCCGGUCAAUAUUGGAUCAAACAAUAGGGAGCCGUAGCA
rnacentral:misc_RNA from 1 species